rnacentral:rRNA from 1 species
UUAGGAAUUUUGCGCAAUGGACGAAAGUCUGACGCAGCGACAUCGCGUGGAGGAUGACGGCCCUCGGGUUGUAAACUCCUUUUCUAUUUCCAUGAAGGAAGUAGGAAUAAGCAACUACUAACUACGUGCCAGCAGUCGCGGUAAUACGUAGGUUGCAAGCGUUACCCGGUUUUACUGGGCGUAAAGAGUCUGUAGGUGGUUUUCCAAGUCUUAUUUCAAAGACCUCGGCCUAACCGAGGGAAGGGGUAGGAUACUGGGAGACUAGAGUUAUAUCGGGGUUACUGGAAUUUGUAGUGUAGGGGUAAAAUCCGUGGAUACUACAAAGAACACCAAGCGCAAAAGCGGGUAACCAGGUAUGUACUGACACUCAGAGACGAAAGCUAGGGUAGCAAAUCAGAUU